AGGCGACGGCCCGAAGGGCGAGUCUCAGGAAGAGACGAGAAAUUUGCCUGGCGGCGAUAGCGCGGUGGUCCCACCUGACCCCAUGCCGAACUCAGUAGUGAAACGCCGUAGCGCCGAUGGUAGUGUGGGGUCUCCCCAUGUGAGAGUAGGGAACUGCCAGGC
rnacentral:rRNA from 1 species